rnacentral:rRNA from 1 species
AAGUAAAUGCUUGUCUAAAAGAUUAAGCCAUGCAAGUGUAAGUAUAAGUCCUAGUACGACGAGACUGCAGACGGCUCCAUUAGCAGUUAUAAUUUAUUUGAUUAUGGAUGCUUACCUUACUACUAUACUUUUUGUCAAAAUUUUCUUUUCACGAGAGAUAUUUUUUAUCAUCAAAAUGAAUUUUAAAUACCGUUGACACUAAGUAUAAAGGGCAUUAUUAAACGGAUAACCUUGAGAAAUUGUGGCUAAUACGUGCUAACUAAGCUUUUAAUCCUAAUUGAAGGAUACCGAAGGCUUUGUACUUGUUAGUUUUUAAAUAAAGGUUGAUAAACCAAAUUAAAAAGAAAUAAAACUAAUUGAAAGUUAACAAUUUAUCGAAUCUGUGGAAGGAUCAAAGACGAUAGUCUUUUUUUACCGAGUCUUCAUUGACUUCGGUUUUGACCCUUUAACUCUUCAAUGGGUUAACUGGUUGAGAGUCCUUUCGAGUAAAGCAGAUGUUUCAUUCAAAUUUCUGGUCUAUCAAUUAGAAGCUAGGGUAGUUGCCUAGCUUGAUGAUAACGGAUCCGGGGAAUUAGGGUUCGAUACCGGAGAAGGAGCCUGAGAGACGGCUCCUGUUACUACGGUGAACAGCAGGCGCGAAACUUUCCCAAAUUUUGACUUAAAGAGGAAGUGACAAGAAAUAUUAACGCGGUUAGCUCCAAAAGCUGACUGUAUUGUUAAAAUGAGGACAAGUUAAAAUUCUUACCGAAUCUCUAUUAGAGGGCAAGUUCUGGUGCCAGCAGCCGCGGUAAUUCCAGCUCUAAGAGUUUCGUUAUUUUAGUUGUUGUAGUUAAAACGCUCGUAGUUGGAACUUUUUCAAUUUAAUCAAUUACAAAUUUCAUUUGGUUGAUUAAAUGAAACUAAGAAGGUUUUUCAAUCUCCUUAUUUUUAACUUUUCGAAGUCGAAAUGAGGGGGGAAUUCUCUUCUUUAUUACUGUGAACAAAAUUUAGUGUUCAAAACAAGCUAUCAUUACUUUUAAUUAAACGCCUUACUAUCCCUUUCUUCGGAAAUAUUUUAAGGUGGCUUUUGAGAAAAUUAGCAUGGAAUAAUGGAAUAAGACUUUAUUGGGUUUUUGUUUAUAUUUGGUUUUUGACCUUUUCUCCCAAUUGGUAAUGAUUAAAAGGGACAGAUUUCAGAACUUAGUUCUUUUCUGGAGCCAUAAUUCUUGUUUUGACUUUAUUUUUAAUAUCGUCUUAACGUGUUAUGGUUAAGUGUUUUUUCUUUGUGCACUUCUGUGUUUUCAAGGAUAUCACUUAAGAUUAUAAUUCCAGAUUAGAUUUCCAUCUAAUAUUCUGAAUUUUAUCGGGGGCGUUAAUAUUCAACGGGGAGAGGUGAAAUUCCGUGAUCCGUUGAGGAUUAACAGGAGCGAAAGCGUUCGCCAAGGAUGUUUUCAUUAAUCAAGAACGAAAGUUAGGGGAUCGAAGACGAUUAGACACCGUCGUAGUCCUAUUUUACCGUAAACGAUCUCGACUAAGGAUUGGGUCUCAAAUGUUUUCACAGAGUUUAAUUUUAUUAUGAAAAAUCAAAUAAAUUUACCGCUACGGAAAACAAUUUUUUGUUUUUUAGGUUUAUUUCCCUUUGUUUUUUUUUAUUAUUCUCUGUGGGCAUUUACUCGCCAGGGUGUCGCUUUAACUUUUCUUUUAGAUUAGUCAAGGACACCUUAAGGAAGACUCAGGACUUGAAGGAGAAAUCAUUAAGUGAACGGAGUCUAGGGGGAAGUAUUAACGCAAGUUUGAAACUUAAAGGAAUUGACGGAAGAGCACACAAUAAGUGGAGCUUGUGGCUUCUAAUUUGACUCAACGCGGGAAAACUUACCAGAUCCGGAUUGGAUUAGGAUUGACAGAUUGACAGCUUUUUCAUGAUUUUCAAAGUGGUGGUGCAUGGCCGUUCUUGGUUGGUGAAGUGAUUUGUCUGUGUUAAUUCCGAUAACGAACGAGACCUUGACUUACAUGUUUAAAUCGGCAUGAUACCUCUUAUCUUUCAAUUUUUUUCGAAAGUUAAUGUAUGUGCUUAUCGUAUUUAUUUUUAAACCUCCCCCAUUAUAUUUGGUUGAUCUUUUUCUUCCUCUUUUUAAUGGGGAUUUUGGUUGUUACGAAAUGCGUUUAACCUUGAAGGACGAUUCAUUUUUUAUAGUGAAAGGAAGAGCGAGGCAAUAACAGGUCUGAGAUGCCCUUUGAUGUUCUGGGCUGCAC